rnacentral:rRNA from 1 species
GAUGAACGCUGGCGGCGUGCCUAACACAUGCAAGUCGAGCGGCAGCGCGGGGUGCUUGCACCCUGUCGGCGAGCGGCGGACGGCUGAGUAACGCGUGGGAACGUGCCCCAAGGUGAGGAAUAACUGCCCGAAAGGGUAGCUAAUACCGCAUAUUAUCUUCGGAUCAAAGGAUUUAUCCGCUUUGGGAGCGGCUCGCGUCGGAUUAGGUAGUUGGUGAGGUAAUGGCUCACCAAGCCGACGAUCCGUAGCUGGUCUGAGAGGAUGACCAGCCAGACUGGAACUGAGACACGGUCCAGACUCCUACGGGAGGCAGCAGUGAGGAAUCUUCCACAAUGGGCGAAAGCCUGAUGGAGCAACGCCGCGUGCAGGACGAAGGCCUUCGGGUUGUAAACUGCUUUUAUAAGUGAGGAAUAUGACGGUAACUUAUGAAUAAGGAUCGGCUAACUACGUG